rnacentral:rRNA from 2 species
CCAAGGCCGACUGUUAGAUGAAGAUCAGCGUAAUGAGCUUAUCGGAUUUUCAGAGAGGUGGUGCAUGGCCGUCGUCAGUUCGUACUGUAAAGCGUUCUGUUAAGUCAGAUAACGAACGAGACCCUCAUCUUUAUUUGCUACCCCAUUCCCCGGAAUGGGCGCACUAUAGAGAGACCGCUGGUGUGAAACCAGAGGAAGGCGCGGGCAACGACAGGUCAGUAUGCCCCGAAUGUCUUGGGCUACACGCGCGCUACAAAGGACGGGACAAUGGGAAGCCAGGCCGAGAGGUCGAGCUAACCCGAAACCCGUUCAUAGUUCGGAUCGAGGGCUGUAACUCGCCCUCGUGAAGCUGGAUUCCGUAGUAAUCGUGUUUCAACAUAGCACGGUGAAUAUGCCCCUGC